UCGGCGACCGGCGCACGGGUGCGUAACGCGUAUGCAACCUACCCAUAACAGGGGGAUAACACUGAGAAAUUGGUACUAAUACCCCAUAACAUCAGGACCGGCAUCGGUUCUGGUUGAAAACUCCGGUGGUUAUGGAUGGGCAUGCGUUGUAUUAGCUGGUUGGUGAGGUAACGGCUCACCAAGGCAACGAUACAUAGGGGGACUGAGAGGUUAACCCCCCACAUUGGUACUGAGACACGGACCAA
rnacentral:rRNA from 1 species